rnacentral:rRNA from 1 species
AAAAUGACUCUCGGCAACGGAUAUCUAGGCUCUCGCAUCGAUGAAGAACGUAGCAAACUGCGAUACUUGGUGUGAAUUGCAGAAUCCCGUGAACCAUCGAGUUUUUGAACGCAAGUUGCGCCCAAAGUCGUUAGGCUGAGGGCACGUCUGCCUGGGCGUCACG